UGGGGAAUAUUGGACAAUGGGCGCAAGCCUGAUCCAGCCAUGCCGCGUGGGUGAAGAAGGCCCUAGGGUUGUAAACCCCUUUCAGCGGGGAAGAUAAUGACGGUACCCGCAGAAGAAGCCCCGGCUAACUCCGUGCCAGCAGCCGCGGUAAUACGGAGGGGGCUAGCGUUGUUCGGAAUUACUGGGCGUAAAGCGCGCGUAGGCGGACCUGCAAGUCGGGGGUGAAAGCCCGAGGCUCAACCUCGGAACUGCCUUCGAUACUGCGGGUCUCGAGUCCGGGAGAGGUGAGUGGAAUUCCUAGUGUAGAGGUGAAAUUCGUAGAUAUUAGGAAGAACACCAGUGGCGAAGGCGGCUCACUGGCCCGGUACUGACGCUGAGGCGCGAAAGCGUGGGGAGCAAA
rnacentral:rRNA from 1 species